rnacentral:SRP_RNA from 1 species
GCCUGUAGUACCAGCUACUCAGGAGAGGCUGAGGCAAGACAAUUUUCCUUGAGUCUAGUAGUUCUGGGAUGUAGUGUACUAUGUUGAACAAAUGUUCACACCAAGUUUGGUAUCAAUAUGGUAACUUCCUGGGAGUGGGGAACCACCAGGUUGCCUAAGGAGGGGUGAACCUGCACAGGUCAGAAAUGGAGCAGGUCAAACUCCCAUGCUGAUCAGUAGUGGGACUGCACCUGGCAAUUGCCACUGCACUCCAGCCUGGGCAAUAAGUAUGAUCUUGUAUCCU